AGGUGCGAUCAUAGCAACACUAAUAAACCGGAUCCCAUUAGAACUUCGCAGUUAUGCAUGCUUGGGCGAGAGUAGUGCUAGGAUGGGUGACCUCCUGGGAAGUCCUCAUGUUGCACCUC
rnacentral:rRNA from 1 species